UACAGAGGGGGCAAGCGUUGUUCGGAAUUACUGGGCGUAAAGGGCGCGUAGGCGGCCUGCUAAGUCGAACGUGAAAUCCCCGGGCUCAACCCGGGAACUGCGUCCGAUACUGGUGGGCUUGAAUCCGGGAGAGGGAUGUGGAAUUCCAGGUGUAGCGGUGAAAUGCGUAGAUAUCAGGAGGAACACCGAUGGCGAAGGCAGGUCUCUGGGCCACUACUGACGCUGAGAAGCGAAAGCAUGGGGAGCGAACAGG
rnacentral:rRNA from 1 species